UACGUAGGGCGCAAGCGUUGUCCGGAAUUAUUGGGCGUAAAGAGCUUGUAGGCGGUUUGUCGCGUCUGCUGUGAAAAUCCGGGGCUCAACCCCGGACUUGCAGUGGGUACGGGCAGACUAGAGUGUGGUAGGGGAGACUGGAAUUCCUGGUGUAGCGGUGAAAUGCGCAGAUAUCAGGAGGAACACCGAUGGCGAAGGCAGGUCUCUGGGCCACUACUGACGUGAGAAGCGAAAGCAUGGGGAGCGAACAGG
rnacentral:rRNA from 1 species